ACACGACUACAUUAGAUACCCCCGUAGUCCUAGCCGUAAACGAUACUCGCUAGGUGUCGGCCACGGUGCGACCGUUGUCGGUGCCGUAGGGAAGCCGUGAAGCGAGCCACCUGGGAAGUACGGUCCGCAAGGCUGAAACUUAAAGGAAUUGGCGGGGAGCACCACAACGGGUGGAGCCUGCGGUUUAAUUGGACUCAACGCCGGAAAUCUCACCGGAUAGGACAGACAUAUGAUAGUCGGGCUGAAGACUCUGCAUGACUAGCUG
rnacentral:rRNA from 1 species